rnacentral:rRNA from 1 species
GACGAACGCUGGCGGCGUGCCUAAUACAUGCAAGUAGAACGCUGAAGGAGGAGCUUGCUUCUCUGGAUGAGUUGCGAACGGGUGAGUAACGCGUAGGUAACCUGCCUGGUAGCGGGGGAUAACUAUUGGAAACGAUAGCUAAUACCGCAUAAUAUUGACUAUUGCAUGAUAGUCAGUUGAAAGGUGCAACUGCACCACUACCAGAUGGACCUGCGUUGUAUUAGCUAGUUGGUGGGGUAACGGCUCACCAAGGCGACGAUACAUAGCCGACCUGAGAGGGGGAUCGGCCACACUGGGACUGAGACACGGCCCAGACUCCUACGGGAGGCAGCCGUAGGGAAUCUUCGGCAAUGGACGGAAGUCUGACCGAGCAACGCCGCGUGAGUGAAGAAGGUUUUCGGAUCGUAAAGCUCUGUUGUAAGAGAAGAACGAGUGUGAGAGUGGAAAGCUCACACUGUGACGGUAUCUUACCAGAAAGGGACGGCUAACUACGUG